UACGAAGGGGGCUAGCGUUGUUCGGAAUCACUGGGCGUAAAGCGCACGUAGGCGGAUUUUUAAGUCAGGGGUGAAAUCCCGAGGCUCAACCUCGGAACUGCCUUUGAUACUGGAGAUCUUGAGUCCGGAAGAGGUAAGUGGAACUGCGAGUGUAGAGGUGAAAUUCGUAGAUAUUCGGAAGAACACCAGUGGCGAAGGCGACUCGCUGGACAAGUAUUGACGCUGAGGUGCGAAAAGCGUGGGGGAGCAAACAGGAU
rnacentral:rRNA from 1 species